rnacentral:rRNA from 1 species
UACGUAGGGUGCAAGCGUUGUCCGGAAUUAUUGGGCGUAAAGAGCUCGUAGGCGGUUAGUGGCGUCUGCUGUGAAAACUCGGGGCUUAACUCCGGGCCUGCAGUGGGUACGGGCUGACUAGAGUGCGGUAGGGGAGACUGGAAUUCCUGGUGUAGCGGUGAAAUGCGCAGAUAUCAGGAGGAACACCGGUGGCGAAGGCGGGUCUCUGGGCCGUAACUGACGCUGAGGAGCGAAAGCGUGGGGAGCGAACAGG